rnacentral:piRNA from 1 species
UCUCCACCUUUUUCCAUUAGU